rnacentral:rRNA from 1 species
UACCCAGUGGCGGACGGGUGAGUAACGCGUGGGCAACCUGCCCCGUGCCGGGGGAUACCGCCUGGAAACAGGCGCUAAUACCGCAUAAGCGCAUACAGCCGCAUGGGUGUAUGCGGAAAGCUCCGGCGGCACAGGAUGGGCCCGCGCCCGAUUAGCCAGUUGGCGGGGUAACGGCCCACCAAAGCGACGAUCGGUAGCCGGCCUGAGAGGGCGGACGGCCACAUUGGGACUGAGACACGGCCCAAACUCCUACGGAAGGCAGCAG